GACGAACGCUGGCGGCGUGCCUAAUACAUGCAAGUCGAACGCAGUUGCGAACGGGUGAGUAACGCGUGGGUAACUGCCUCAUGGCGGGGGUUAACUCUUGGAAACGAUAGCUAAUACCGCUUACUGUGACAUGGACCUGCGUUGUGUUGGCUAGUUGGGGGGGUAAAGGGUCACCAAGGCGAAGAUACAUAGCCUGGCUGAGAGGGUGAACGGCCACACUGGGACCUAGACACGGGCCAGACUCCCAAGGGAGGCAGCAGGUGGGAAUCAUCGGCAAUGGACGGAAGUCUGAACGAGCAACGGCGCGGGAGAUAAGAAGGGUUUCGGAUCGGAAAGCUAUUUUGUUCGAGAAGCGGUAACUAACCAGAAAGGAACGGCUAACUACGUGCCAGCAGCCGCGGUAAUUC
rnacentral:rRNA from 1 species